UACGUAGGGGGCAAGCGUUGUCCGGAUUUAUUGGGCGUAAAGAGCGUGUAGGCGGUUUGGUAGGUCCGUUGUGAAAACUCGAGGCUCAACCUCGAGACGCCGAUGGAAACCAUCAGACUAGAGUCCGGAAGAGGAGAGUGGAAUUCCUGGUGUAGCGGUGAAAUGCGCAGAUAUCAGGAAGAACACCCGUGGCUAAGGCGGCUCUCUGGGCAUUACCUGACGCUGAGGAGCGAAAGUGUGGGGAGCGAACAGG
rnacentral:rRNA from 1 species